GUGAUCUGGCUCAAUUGAACGCGGCGGAUUCGCUUUACACAUGCAGUCGAACGGCAGCACCGGACUUCGGUCUGGUGGCGAGUGGCGAACGGGUGAGUACAUACAUCGGAACGUGCCCAGUCGUGGGGGAUAACGUAGCGAAAGCUACGCUAAUACCGCAUACGAUCUAAGGAUGAAACGCGGGGGAUCGCAAGACCUCGCGCGAUUGGAGCGGCCGAUGGACAGAUUAAGUAGUUGGUAGGGUAAAAGGCCUACCAAGCCGACGAUCUGUACCUGGUCUGACGAGGACGACCAGACCACACUGGGACUGAGACACGGCCCAGACUCCUACGGGAGGCACCAGUGGGGAAUUUUGGACAAUGGGCGAACACGCCUGAUCCAGCCAUUCCGCGUGCAGGAUGAAGUGCCCUCGGGUUGUAAACUGCUUUUGUACGGAACGAAAAGGUCCUGGUUAAUACCUGCGGGCUCAUGACGGUACCGUAAGAAUAAGCACCGGCUAACUACGUGCCAGCAGCCGCGGUAAUACGUAGGGUGCAAGCGUUAAUCGGAAUUACUGGGCGUAAAGCGUGCGCAGGCGGUGAUGUAAGACAGAGGUGAAAUCCCCGGGCUCAACCUGGGAACUCCCUUUGUGACUGCAUCGCUGGAAGUACGGCAGAGGGGGGAUGGAAU
rnacentral:rRNA from 1 species